UACGAAGGGGGCUAGCGUUGUUCGGAAUUACUGGGCGUAAAGGGCUCGUAGGCGGCCAACUAAGUCGGAUGUGAAAUCCCCAGGCUUAACCUGGGAACUGCAUCCGAUACUGGAUGGCUUGAAUUCGGGAGAGGGAUGCAGAAUUCCAGGUGUAGCGGUGAAAUGCGUAGAUAUCUGGAGGAAUACCGGUGGCGAAGGCGGCAUCCUGGACCGACAUUGACGUUGAGGAGCGAAAGCUAGGGGAGCAAACGGG
rnacentral:rRNA from 1 species